rnacentral:rRNA from 1 species
UACAGAGGUCCCGAGCGUUGUUCGGAUUCAUUGGGCGUAAAGAGCGUGUAGGCGGCUUGUUAAGUCUUGCGUGAAAUCUCGGGGCUCAACCCCGAGCGGUCGUGAGAAACUGGCAGGCUAGAGUGCGGGAGAGGAGAGUGGAAUUCCUGGUGUAGCGGUGAAAUGCGUAGAUAUCAGGAGGAACACCGGUGGUGUAGACGGCUUUCUGGACCGUAACUGACGCUGAGACACGAAAGCGUGGGUAGCAAACAGG